rnacentral:rRNA from 1 species
UACGGAGGGUGCAAGCGUUAUCCGGAUUCACUGGGGUUAAAGGGUGCGUAGGUGGGUCUGUAAGUCCGUGGUGAAAUCUCCGAGCUUAACUUGGAAACUGCCAUGGAUACUAUAGGUCUUGAAUACUGUGGAGGUCAGCGGAAUAUGUCAUGUAGCGGUGAAAUGCUUAGAUAUGACAUAGAACACCAAUUGCGAAGGCAGCUGGCUACACAAAUAUUGACACUGAUGCACGAAAGCGUGGGGAUCAAACAGG